rnacentral:rRNA from 1 species
AAAGGUAACGGAGGCGCUCAAAGGUUCUCUCAGUACGGUCGGAAAUCGUACGUAGAGUGUAAAGGCAAAAGAGAGCUUGAUUGCAAGACAUACAGGUCGAGCAAGGAUGAAAAUCGGACUUAGUGAUCCGGUGGUGCUGCGUGGAAGGGCCAUCGCUCAACGGAUAAAAGCUACCCUGGGGAUAACAGGCUUAUCUCCCCCAAGAGUCCACAUCGACGGGGAGGUUUGGCACCUCGAUGUCGGCUCAUCACAUCCUGGGGCUGUAGUAGGUCCCAAGUGUUGGG